AAUAAGCGGAGGAAAAGAAA
rnacentral:snRNA from 1 species